UACGUAGGGUGCAAGCGUUGUCCGGAAUUAUUGGGCGUAAAGAGCUCGUAGGCGGUCUGUUGCGUCGGCUGUGAAAACCCGGGGCUCAACCCCGGGCCUGCAGCCGAUACGGGCAGACUAGAGUUCGGCAGGGGAGACUGGAAUUCCCAGUGUAGAGGUGAAAUUCGUAGAUAUUGGGAAGAACACCGGUGGCAAAGGCGGCUCUCUGGACCGAGACUGACGCUAGGCGCGAAAGCGUGGGGAGCAAACAGG
rnacentral:rRNA from 1 species